rnacentral:rRNA from 1 species
UACGGGGGGGGCAAGCGUUGUUCGGAAUUACUGGGCGUAAAGGGUGCGUAGGCGGCUUUCUAAGUUGGAUGUGAAAACUAUGGGCUCAACCCAUAGCCUGCAUCCAAAACUGGAGAGCUUGGGUUCUGGAGGGGAAAGCGGAAUUCCUGGUGUAGCGGUGAAAUGCGCAGAUACCAGGAGGAACACCGGUGGCGAAGGCGGAUCUCUGGGCCUUACCUGACGCUCAGGCGCGAAAGCUAGGGGAGCGAACAGG